rnacentral:lncRNA from 1 species
AAUCGAAACGAAGGGAUAUAAUAUUAGUAUUGUAAAGAUAGUGAAACCGUGACAUAUUGUGAUUAGAUAACCUAUUUAUUAUUUUUUGUGAAAAAUAUAAUAAUGUUUGAAUUUGAUUGUGCAUCAGUUACCUUAUUUAACCCGAUUUUCUAAACCAGAGAUUUUUUGAAUGCGAUGCGGUUCCAUGGAAGAGAACAAGUUAAAGUAUGGCUAUUAUCAAUUUUGAUGGUUCACAGCGCAGUUGCCGGGAACCCAGAUGCAAAAAGACUGUAUGACGAUUUACUAAGUAACUACAAUAAACUUGUUCGACCUGUGGUAAAUACGACAGAUGUUCUUAAAGUAUGCAUAAAGUUAAAGUUGUCACAACUCAUAGACGUGAAAACCCGACUACUUAGCU